rnacentral:lncRNA from 1 species
CGCGCGCCGACGCAAACUGGCGCCGCAUAGCCAGUGCGUCACGCCCCGCAAUCGAAAACACGGUGAGGCGCCCUUUAUAGCCGUCGUGAAAGAAAACGCCGCCGGCGUCGCGGUCGGCGCCGGAUGCACCGUGCGCGCGUUCAAAGUGCCAGCGGGCGGCCGUCCCCGUUACCUUUUCCCAGUCGUCCUCGCAAAAGGCGAAACAAGGGCGUUCGGGCGGCCCGUACAUCCCGUACUCGUGCACAUUCUCGGCAACGACGCACGCCCAAUGCCAGGCGGCAAUGCGCAGGGCGUCGCGUUGAUCAAUGGGGCGCAACCAACCGCGCGGGCACGCCGCCGUGUCGCUGCAGCGAUUAUCGCCCACAGCAGAGCGACCCGACGGGCCAGCGUGCGUCGAGGGCGUCGUGCAGCCACAACACGAGACCCAUAGUGGCGGGCAUGCCAGCCAAUUGUCUGUGCCAUCGUCACCCUCCCCGUCGUCGUCGUCGUCGUCAUUCCAGCCAGUUUGCUCGCGCGCAUCCGGAGCGACGUGCGACACACACGUUUCCACCGCCGCCCCAGGGCGGGGCGGCACCAAAAGUGGCCGGCAAAAGGGAGACGGCAGAUUCGCCUGUAAGAUGCCGUCGACAAGGGCAAAAGGCACGCACGCCCGCAAACACAUAUUGAAAAGGGACCGAGGCGACGUGCGCAACGCAUCGCGUCCCUCAAAGGCGGCAAAAAGGCGCGACGGUGCCAAGUCGGCCAGGAUGCGCGUCAAAAUCGGAUCCAUCGGCGGCUGACGGAAUCGCGCCGUCAUGACGAGGCUUUUUGUGUCUUCUUAUUCCUUCCUUUUUUUUCCUUUAUGCAGACGCCGAUCACGCGUCGCCCCGUCGUGGUUGGUUGGUCUUUUGGUUGGGCCUAUCGCCCCAAAUGGCCUUUGUUUGCGCCAGGCACCGCGCAAAAAAAGCACGGACCUAUCUGACGCGCGCCAACAGGGCCUCCCCGCCCCGUCCUCCUCUCUAAAAGCAUCGGCCGGCCUUUCCUCUGAUCCGUCUUUUUUUUGGCCAUACGAUGCGAGAAAAGGGCACUGUUUUAUGGGCGCCUUCUUUACCCCCCCGGGAGCGGGUGCGCCACUUUAGGCAUCUUUUUUUCUCUUCCAAAAAGAAAAAAGAGAAAUGCGCG